GAUGAACGCUGGCGGCGUGCCUAAUACAUGCAAGUCGAGCGAACGGACGAGAAGCUUGCUUCUCUGAUGUUAGCGGCGGACGGGUGAGUAACACGUGGAUAACCUCCCUAUCAGACUGGGAUAACUUCGGGACACCGGAGCUAAUCCCGGAUGAUCUUUUGAACCGCAUGGUUCAAUAGUGAAAGACGGUCUUGCUGUCACUUCUAGAUGGAUCCGCGCUGCAUUAGCUAGUUGGUAAGGUAACGGCUUACCAAGGCAACGAUGCAUAGCCGACCUGAGAGGCGGAUCGGCCACACUGGAACUGAGACACGGUCCAGACUCCUACGGGAGGCAGCAGUAGGGAAUCUUCCGCAAUGGGCGAAAGCCUGACGGAGCAACGGCGCGUGAGUGAUGAAGGUCUUCGGAGCGUAAAACUCUGUUAUGAGGGAAGAACAUAUGUGUAAUUAGCUGUGCACAGCUUGACGGUACCUAAUCAGAAAGCCACGGCUAACUACGUG
rnacentral:rRNA from 1 species